AGUGAACGCUGGCGGUAGGCCUAACACAUGCAAGUCGAACGGCAGCACAGUAAGGGCUUGCUCUUACGGGUGGCGAGUGGCGGACGGGUGAGGAGUACAUCGGACUCUACUUUUUCGUGGGGGAUCACGUAGGGAAACUUACGCUAAUACCGCAUACGACCUACGGGUGAAAGCAGGGGAUCUUCGGACCUUGCGCGAUUGAAUGAGCCGAUGUCGGAUUAGCUAGUUGGCGGGGUAAAGGCCCACCAAGGCGACGAUCCGUAGCUGGUCUGAGAGGAUGAUCAGCCACACUGGAACUGAGACACGGUCAAGACGCCUAAGGGAGGCAGCAGUGGGGAAUAUUGGGCAAUGGGCGCAAGCAUGAUCCAGCCAGACCGCGUGGGUGAAGAAGGCCUUCGGGGUGUAAAGCCCUUUUGUGGGGAAAGAAAAGCAGCAGGUUAAUACGAAGCUGUACUGACGGUACCCAAAGAAUAAGCACCGGCUAACUUCGUG
rnacentral:rRNA from 1 species